ACGUGGUGAGGGUCUCUAGUUCACGCUCGCAGCCAUGCGGUCCAAGGGCCUAGUGCAGUCUGUGCAGGUCUUCGGUCGCAAGAAGACAGCCACAGCUGUGGCGGGCUGCAAACGCAGCAAUGGCCUCAUCAAGGUGAACAGGCGGCUCCUGGAGAUGAUGGAGCCGCGCACACUACCAUAGAAGCUGCUGGAGCCAGUUCUGCUUCUCGGCAAGGAGCGAUUUGCUGGUGUGGACAUCCACGUCCAUGUGAAGGGUGGUGGUCACGUGGCCUAGAUUUAUGCUAUCCGUCAGUCCAUCUCCAAAGCCCUGGAGGCCUAUUACCAGAAAUAUGUGGAUGAGGCUUCGAAGAUGGAGAUCAAAGACAUCCUCAUCCAGUAUGACCAGAACGUGCUGGUAGCUGAUCCCCGUCGCUACGAGUCCAAAAAGUUUGGAGGCCCUGGUGCCCAUGCUCAUUACCAGAAAUCCUACCGAUAAGCCCAUCCUGACGAU